CAAUGGGGGAAACCCUGNAUGCAGCGACGCCGCGUGGAGGAAGAAGGUCUUCCCNAUUGUAAACUCCUGUUGUUGGGGAAGAUAAUGACGGUACCCAACAAGGAAGUGACGGCUAACUACGUGCCAGCAGCCGCGGUAAAACGUAGGUCACAAGCGUUGUCCGGAAUUACUGGGUGUAAAGGGAGCGCAGGCGGGAAGACAAGUUGGAAGUGAAAUCUAUGGGCUCAACCCAUAAACUGCUUUCAAAACUGUUUUUCUUGAGUAGUGCAGAGGUAGGCGGAAUUCCCGGUGUAGCGGUGGAAUGCGUAGAUAUCGGGAGGAACACCAGUGGCGAAGGCGGCCUACUGGGCACCAACUGACGCUGAGGCUCGAAAGUGUGGGUAGCAAACAGGAUUAGAUACCCUGGUAGUCCAAGGGCGAAUUC
rnacentral:rRNA from 1 species